UACGUAGGGUGCAAGCGUUUAAUCGGAAUUACUGGGCGUAAAGCGUGCGCAGGCGGCUUUGCAAGACAGAUGUGAAAUCCCCGGGCUUAACCUGGGAACUGCAUUUGUGACUGCAUGGCUGGAGUGCGGCAGAGGGGGGAUGGAAUUCCGCGUGUAGCAGUGAAAUGCGUAGAUAUGCGGAGGAACACCGAUGGCGAAGGCAGCCCCCUGGGUCAAGAUUGACGCUCAUGCACGAAAGCGUGGGGAGCAAACAGG
rnacentral:rRNA from 1 species